rnacentral:rRNA from 1 species
AGUGAACGCUGGCGGUAGGCCUAACACAUGCAAGUCGAACGGCAGCACAGUAAUAGCUUGCUCUUACGGGUGGCGAGUGGCGGACGGGUGAGGAAUACAUCGGAAUCUACUUUUUCGUGGGGGAUAACGUAGGGAAACUUACGCUAAUACCGCAUACGACCUACGGGUGAAAGCAUGGGAUCUUCGGACCUUGCGCGAUUGAAUGAGCCGAUGUCGGAUUUGCUAGUUGGCGGGGUAAAGGCCCACCAAGGCGACGAUCCGUAGCUGGUCUGAGAGGAUGAUCAGCCACACUGGAACUGAGACACGGUCCAGACGCCUACGGGAGGCAGCAGUGGGGAAUAUUGGACAAUGGGCGAAAGCCUGAUCCAGCAAUACCGCGUGGGUGAAGAAGGCCUUCGGGUUGUAAAGCCCUUUUGUUGGGAAAGAAAAGCAGCAGGUUAAUACCCCGCUGUUCUGACGGUACCCAAAGAAUAAGCACCGGCUAACUUCGUG